rnacentral:rRNA from 1 species
CAGCUUGCUGGGGUGGAUGAGUGGCGAACGGGUGAGUAACACGUGAGUAACCUUCCCUUGACUCUGGGAUAAGCCCGGGAAACUGGGUCUAAUACCGGAUAUGACCUCCUGUCGCAUGGUGGGGGGUGGAAAGAUUUAUCGGUCUUGGAUGGACUCGCGGCCUAUCAGCUUGUUGGUGAGGUAAUGGCUCACCAAGGCGACGACGGGUAGCCGGCCUGAGAGGGUGACCGGCCACACUGGGACUGAGACACGGCCCAGACUCCUACGGGAGGCAGCAGUGGGGAAUAUUGCACAAUGGGCGCAAGCCUGAUGCAGCGACGCCGCGUGAGGGAUGACGGCCUUCGGGUUGUAAACCUCUUUCAGUAGGGAAGAAGCCUUCGGGUGACGGUACCUGCAGAAGAAGCGCCGGCUAACUACGUGCCAGCAGCCGCGGUAAUACGUAGGGCGCGAGCGUUAUCCGGAAUUAUUGGGCGUAAAGAGCUCGUAGGCGGUUUGUCGCGUCUGCCGUGAAAGUCCGGGGCUUAACCCCGGAUCUGCGGUGGGUACGGGCAGACUAGAGUGCAGUAGGGGAGACCGGAAUUCCUGGUGUAGCGGUGAAAUGCGCAGAUAUCAGGAGGAACACCGAUGGCGAAGGCAGGUCUCUGGGCUGUUACUGACGCUGAGGAGCGAAAGCAUGGGGAGCGAACAGGAUUAGAUACCCUGGUAGUCCAUGCCGUAAACGUUGGGCACUAGGUGUGGGGGACAUUCCACGUUUUCCGCGCCGCAGCUAACGCAUUAAGUGCCCCGCCUGGGGAGUACGGCCGCAAGGCUAAAACUCAAAGGAAUUGACGGGGGCCCGCACAAGCGGCGGAGCAUGCGGAUUAAUUCGAUGCAACGCGAAGAACCUUACCAAGGCUUGACAUGUUCUCGAUCGCCACAGAGAUGUGGUUUCCCCUUUGGGGCGGGUUCACAGGUGGUGCAUGGUUGUCGUCAGCUCGUGUCGUGAGAUGUUGGGUUAAGUCCCGCAACGAGCGCAACCCUCGUUCCAUGUUGCCAGCGGGUUAUGCCGGGGACUCAUGGGAGACUGCCGGGGUCAACUCGGAGGAAGGUGGGGACGACGUCAAAUCAUCAUGCCCCUUAUGUCUUGGGCUUCACGCAUGCUACAAUGGCCGGUACAAUGGGUUGCGAUACUGUGAGGUGGAGCUAAUCCCAAAAAGCCGGUCUCAGUUCGGAUUGGGGUCUGCAACUCGACCCCAUGAAGUCGGAGUC